AGACAAACAAUUGAGUGUCAUGCCACCCUGCAGGGAUUAUUCUAAUGCUCAUGUUCAUGUUGAAUUCUCUUUUGUUUCAGGUCAAUCUGAACCGUGGGAACAGGAUGCUGACAGUCAACUUUUGCCUUUGGCCUCAUGUACUAAAAAAUGUGUUGAUGAUCACGACUGCCCCGAAAAUCAGGAGUGCACCAUCACAGGAUGUGGACGUGUGUGCACACUGUCAUUCAGAGAAAAAGCAGGGAAAUGUCCCCCUCCACAUUUGGGCAGGGAUUUGAGCCAGUGUGCCCAUGCUUGCGUCAAUGACAAUGACUGUCCUGGAGAAAAGAAGUGCUGCACCAAGAAAUGUGGACGCACAUGCGUCGCACCAUUCAAAGUGAAGCCAGGUGUCUGCAGGCAUUCCCAGGGCACUUCCCAAUAACAGCUGCCUCCAUGAUGGUCGUGUCCAGGAGAGAACACUUGAUGCACGAUAACGUUUGGGAAUGGAUGUGGAUUCUACAACACAUUAGCAAUACUUCUUCUUUGUGAUUACUUUCAUACUUUCUAGGUUUACAAAUCAUCUGGUAAACUUUGCUUUCAGUCUUUCUCUAUUUAACCCAACAAGUCCUUCAUAUAUGAUUAUCUAAGAUCUACUUCAACCAUCUUGUCAGUAUUGUGUGAUUGAACAACAUAUUCCUGCGACAGCAGUAACAGUCAGCACUGAAGGGUAAAGUAACUGGUCAGUGUUGUCAGAUUUGAAAUGCAGUAUCCGUGAACUUGUGACUAAUAUCUGGAAACAUCCCUGGAAAGAGUGGAAAUGGCUCCAUCUGGCGUGACAGCAAGCCGACUUUGAGAAUCCAACUCAAAAUAUGCAUGAACCAUGUGUGAAGCAUUUCUAGAUCUCAUGUAAUUAAACAAACUGCUGUUUCUGAUUCAUGAAGUUGAGCCACAAUCGUAGCUGUGUUGAAGUGAUGAAAAAAAGUUUUUACCUCUUUAUCUCUGACGAGGCAUAGAGUGUCAUUUUCACAAGUAAAUUAAAUUGAAGCCUUUCCA